GUGGGGAAUAUUGGACAAUGGGCGAAAGCCUGAUCCAGCCAUGCCGCGUGUGUGAAGAAGGUCUUCGGAUUGUAAAGCACUUUAAGUUGGGAGGAAGGGCAGUAAGUUAAUACCUUGCUGUUUUGACGUUACCGACAGAAUAAGCACCGGCUAACUUCGUGCCAGCAGCCGCGGUAAUACGAAGGGUGCAAGCGUUAAUCGGAAUUACUGGGCGUAAAGCGCGCGUAGGUGGUUUUGUAAGUUGGAGGUGAAAUCCCCGGGCUCAACCUGGGAACUGCCUCCAAAACUACUGAGCUAGAGUACGGUAGAGGGUAGUGGAAUUUCCUGUGUAGCGGUGAAAUGCGUAGAUAUAGGAAGGAACACCAGUGGCGAAGGCGACUACCUGGACUGAUACUGACACUGAGGUGCGAAAGCAUGGGGAGCAAACAGGAUUAGAUACCCGUGUAGUCC
rnacentral:rRNA from 1 species